AAAACGGCCCUUUUCAGGGCCACCGAAAUCUUUCUAUCCGAUCAAUU
rfam:Asian citrus Psyllid, Diaphorina citri - Florida Strain, whole genome shotgun sequence.